UGGGGAAUCUUCCGCAAUGGACGAAAGUCUGACGGAGCAACGCCGCGUGAGUGAUGACGGCCUUCGGGUUGUAAAGCUCUGUUAAUCGGGACGAAAGGCCUUCUUGCGAAUAGUUAGAAGGAUUGACGGUACCGGAAUAGAAAGCCACGGCUAACUACGUGCCAGCAGCCGCGGUAAUACGUAGGUGGCAAGCGUUGUCCGGAAUUAUUGGGCGUAAAGCGCGCGCAGGCGGAUUGGUCAGUCUGUCUUAAAAGUUCGGGGCUUAACCCCGUGAUGGGAUGGAAACUGCCAAUCUAGAGUAUCGGAGAGGAAAGUGGAAUUCCUAGUGUAGCGGUGAAAUGCGUAGAUAUUAGGAAGAACGCCAGUGGCGAAGGCGACUUUCUGGACGAAAACUGACGCUGAGGCGCGAAAGCCAGGGGAGCGAACGGGAUUAGAUACCCCGGUAGUCCUGGCCGUAAACGAUGGGUACUAGGUGUAGGAGGUAUCGACCCCUUCUGUGCCGGAGUUAACGCAAUAAGUACCCCGCCUGGGGAGUACGACCGCAAGGUUG
rnacentral:rRNA from 1 species